rnacentral:rRNA from 1 species
UACGUAGGGUGCAAGCGUUAAUCGGAAUUACUGGGCGUAAAGCGUGCGCAGGCGGUUUGUAAGACUGUCGUGAAAUCCCCGGGCUCAACCUGGGAAUGGCGAUGGUGACUGCAAGGCUAGAGUUUGGCAGAGGGGGUAGAAUUCCGACGUGUAGCAGUGAAAUGCGUAGAUAUGUGGAGGAACACCGAUGGCGAAGGCAGCCCCCUGGGUCAAAACUGACGCUCAUGCACGAAAGCGUGGGGAGCAAACAGG